UACGAAGGGGGCUAGCGUUGUUCGGAAUUACUGGGCGUAAAGCGCACGUAGGCGGAUCAGUUAGUCGGGGGUGAAAUCCCGGGGCUCAACCCCGGAACUGCCUUCGAUACUGCUGGUCUGGAGUCCGAGAGAGGUGAGUGGAAUUCCGAGUGUAGAGGUGAAAUUCGUAGAUAUUCGGAGGAACACCAGUGGCGAAGGCGGCUCACUGGCUCGGUACUGACGCUGAGGUGCGAAAGCGUGGGGAGCAAACAGG
rnacentral:rRNA from 1 species